GUCAGUGUGACAUAGUGGUUUGAGUGUUGGACUAAGAUACUGGAGACCAGGGUUCAAUUCCCCAAUCAGACA
rnacentral:tRNA from 1 species